GAUUAAAGAGAAUAGCAUAGCUAUCCCUCUCUCUCCGUUCUCUUGUAGAACUCUUGUUUUAACGAACUUAAUUAAAAGCCCUUAUACUUUGUCUAGGUAGUGGCAUUAGUGCCAGACCUAUGCAUUGUAGUGGGUUUAGUAAAAACUAAAUUCAUAUUUUUCAUUUAGAGCUGCGUGUCUCAAGUGCGUCUCGGUCACAAUAUACUGUUCCGUCAGGUGCGUGACAAUCCGGGGCUCAUCAUGUCUUCCGCGACUGGUGAGGGUUCUCAAGGUGCGAGGGCCACGUAUAGAGCA
rfam:Betacoronavirus Erinaceus/VMC/DET/2012 isolate ErinaceusCoV/2012-174/GER/2012, complete genome.